AAUCGGAUGAAUAGGAGCCUGCGCAGUUGCAGUGUGGUUGCAAUGAAUUAAAUCCUGUUUUGUUUUGUAAUGAAAUGACCUGCGUUUAUUUCUACAUUAUAUGAAUUCUGUCUUCAAGCUCCAGCGCGUCGUUAUCAGGUCUCCUGUCAGCGUCCGAAGCUCCAGAAAAAACAAUCCAAGUUUGUCCAGCCUCUCCCUAUAGCUGAUAUGCUUCAUUCCAGCUUUCUGUGGUAUUUCCUGGAAGAACAGCACCUCAUAAUCUGCCUGGGUACCUUACAACCUAACAGCAUGGACUUCAAAUGUUUCAAUUUCAAGUAAUCCACCGAUCCCGCUUCCCUUCUCCCAACCCCAACUCUGAUCCACACAUCUUUCUGCCAUCAACUCUGCCACCCUGUUCCUUUCCCCUCCUCCUUAUACGCAUCUGUAAAUCCUCCAUGCUUUGUCCACCAUUUUCUCCUUAUCCAUUCUCUUUCUUUUAUUCCCUGUUCUCUUACACCCAUGUCUCUCCCUCUGAAUUUGCAUUUCACUCCUCCUCUUCCUUCUUUAGACUUUAGACUUUGGACAUCAGAGAUACAGCGUGGAAACAGGCCCUUUGGCCCACCGUGUCUGCAUUGACCAACGUUCCCAGUACACCAACACUAUCCUACCCACAAGGGACAAUUUACAAUUUUACCAAAGCCAAUUAACCUACAAACCUGUACGUCUUUGGAGUGUGGAAGGAAACCGGAGCUCCCGGAGAAAAACCAUGUGGUCACAGGGAGAACGUACAAACUCCGUACAGAGAGCGUCCAUAGGCAGGAUCGAACCCGGAUCUCUGGUACUGUAAUGCAGCAACUCUACUGCUGUGCCACUGUGCCACCCAGCUGAUACCCUUUUGUCUCCAUUUCACCUCUAGCCUUUGUGAUUAUCUCCACCCAUUAGCCAAUCAUCGCUCUCCCCCUCACUUGUUUCCACCUAUCUCUUGCCAAACUUUGCCCCAUUCCCAACUCUUCUCACAAGCUUUAUACCCCUACUUCGUCGGUCUGAAGAAAGGCCAUCUGUCCAUUUCCAUCCACAGAUGCUACCUGACCCACUGAAUUCCUCCAUCACUUCGAUUUUUGCUCAAGACUCCAGCACCUGCAGCUGCUUCCGUCUCCAUUUCUGUGGAAUAUUGUUAAUGUAUUUUGUGUCCUUAUAAAUCAAAAACUGCUUUGUUAUAUUAACACAUGAUGUUAACCUAAACGUGGCUAUUUUAUUUGUUUAUAUCAAAUUCAUAUCAAACGUGGGAUAACAGAAGAAGUUUGAACACGUGAUCGAUGGUCGUCAUGGACACGGUGGGCUGGAGGGCCUCUUUCCAUGCUGUAGCUUUGAACUAAACUAAACAAAACAAUGAGUUGAUCAUCUGAGGUGCUCAUUUGUUUAAACGGCAGCUGGGUAACUCUCAUUUUUCAUAGCCCAACAGCGUAUGUCUUUCCUCCACCUCCCCACCAAUUCAAAACUACUAUGCUCAUACAAUAUGGCAAGCAAAGUUAAAGAUGCAGCUACAAUCCCUUUGCAAGAUAUACAAUAUAUUCUCUGGGUGGAUGGUGAGAUAUUUCAAAAAGCACAAGGGGAUCUGGAAAUUUUGGUCUGUUCUUUCAAGCCCACUAACGCAUAAAAAUUCAUUGCCAUUGCUCAGUCUGAAGAAGGGUUACGAUCCGAAACGUCACCCAUCCUUUUUCUCCAGAGAUGAUGCCUGACCCGCUGAGUUAUUCCAACAUUUUGUAGUUAUCUUUAGUAUAAACCAUCAUCUGAAGUUCCUUCCCAGCCAUUACUCCUCAUGUUGUUUUCCAAUACUAUUCAAGUGGAUCUAAUUGGGAACGUAUGUAUGCCAGGUUAAUUUAUUCUUUCACAAAUAGAAUUUACCUGCUCAGAAAAUUCAAACACCAUCCAUGAUGAUUGGUUAGGCUAUGAAGUUCCAGAUAUUCUAUUUUAAUCCUACGCAAGAAAAUGAUCAGUGAAAGGUGACAUUCAUUUUGUUGUGGAUGAAACAUCUUACCUAGUGCUUAUCUAAUUGAGCAGGUGCAAUUUAGAAUUUCAGAAGUACAAUGGUCUUUUCAAUACUUCGCAUUUGUGAACAUUCACUUCAAUACAGAUGAUCUACCAGUCGGUGGUAGCCAGUGCCAUCUUCUUCGCUGCCGUGUGCUGGGCAGCAGGGAAAAGGCCAUGGAGGGCAAUAUGAUCAACAAGCUCAUCAGGCAGGCUGACUCCAUCUUGGGGUCGGAGUUGGAUUCAUGGGAGGUGGUCUUGGAGAGGAGGAUGCUCCUCAAACUGCGGAGCAUCUUGGACAAUACAGCUCACCCCCUCCAUGACACACUGGUAAACCUUAGGAGCACCUGCAGCACCAGACUGGUUCCACCAAGAUGCAGUACAGAACACCUUUUUCCCUGUGGCUGUCAAACCGUACAACUCCUCCCCCUUCUGUCAUGGGCUAGAUGACUCCCCUCUCACCCCUCCCCAAUCUUUGCACAUCCCCAAUCCUUUCCACUCAUCACUUUAAUUUCAUGUUUCAUGUAUCUUGUGUUUUAUGACUGUUGGCAGAUCUAUUUCCCUCCUCAGAUAAAUACAGUUCUAUCUUAUUGUAUUGUAUCGUAUCGUAAACAGUGAAUGCCACUGGAUAUUCCCUGCAGACAAUGUGAAAGAUAAAUCCCUGGCUCUCACAUGAUGUCCACAUUGAUGUUAUUUCCAGUUGGAUUACUUCAUGAGAUACCAAACAGGGUAAGGUUUAUCGU